rnacentral:rRNA from 1 species
GAUGAACGCUGGCGGCGUGCCUAAUACAUGCGAGUCGAGCGAACAGACGAGGAGCUUGCUCCUCUGACGUUAGCGGCGGACGGGUGAGUAACACGUGGAUAACCUACCUAUAAGACUGGGAUAACUUCGGGAAACCGGAGCUAAUACCGGAUAAUAUAUUGAACCGCAUGGUUCAAUAGUGAAAGACGGUUUUGCUGUCACUUAUAGAUGGAUCCGCGCCGCAUUAGCUAGUUGGUAAGGUAACGGCUUACCAAGGCAACGAUGCGUAGCCGACCUGAGAGGGUGAUCGGCCACACUGGAACUGAGACACGGUCCAGACUCCUACGGGAGGCAGCAGUAGGGAAUCUUCCGCAAUGGGCGAAGGCUUGACGGAGCAACGCCGCGUGAGUGAUGAAGGUCUUCGGAUCGUAAAACUCUGUUAUUAGGGAAGAACAAAUGUGUAAGUAACUAUGCACGUCUUGACGGUACCUAAUCAGAAAGCCACGGCUAACUACGUG